rnacentral:lncRNA from 1 species
AUUGAGCCACACUAAAAAAGAGCUUGAGCAGAGUGGUAAAGAGUCCCCUUUUCUAUCCAAUGCCAAAUAGGAAACAUUGACUUACUUUUACUUAGACAGAGGUCACAACCAGCAAUGAUACUGCAGAUACUGCUCAGUUCCUAGUGUGAACCGUCUUGCUUUUCAGAACAGCAUAAGAAUUAUUUCUGAGUGGAGGUGAGGCUUGUCCAAAUGUCUUUGCUAUCAUGGAUUUCCUGACUCCUACCUGUUUGAGG